AUUAUGAGAAGGGGCCUCAAGGUUUUUAAAAGAUUUGCAUUCCUUUGUAGCUCUGCUGAGGAAGUCAUCGGCAAGCGACUUUUUGAAAGGUGGCAGAGAUAGACGCACGGCCAAAUGCUUCCCCAGUGGCUCCUGCAGUUCGGAGAGCAGUGAGUCAGAAGAAGUUCCUGAGGCCAUCUCUAACUAUGAGCACAACUUUAACCAGGCCUACCCUGGAGGGUCAUUAAACGGAAUGAAACCGGGGGCUGACAGCGGGGCUGAGGAUGAGGGCUCAGGCAUGUAGCCCACUGGGGGCAAAUGCCCUUAGGGAGAGCUACCCCCAGAGAGAGCCAGUGUGGUGUGGUGUGGUGUGGUGUGGUGUGGAGUGGAGUGGAGUGGUGCAAGAAGAGUCAAGGUCUGGAAUAUUACUGUACUGAUCAGACACAAGGGCAAAACCCUGAAUUUGUUAUUUGUUAUGUACAAUUAGCAAUAGGAUGGUAUUUGAAAGGCACCCAGUUCAUUCAGCUAAAAUGCAGUACCCAAAUAUUUAGACAUGUAAACAUAUUCUUAGGUUUUAAGUUGACCUUUUCCUGAAAACUGGUUUUUAUUUGAUCUCUGGAUGCUGUUUAGAAACAUUGAUAUGUGAUAAAUGAUCCAGUGGUGGCAACAAUGUCAGUGACUGUUAGUGAGCUUGUCCUAAGUAUCAGAGCUGGUCUUAAAUGUCAGAAAUGUCAGGAGAAAUUCAAUCAGGCAUUAUAGGCGCCACAUUCCUUUUUGCCUCUCUGCCAAUUGCCUAAAAAAGUGCAGAGAUUAAAGACUUUAAAACCUAAAUAUGUAUUUCUAUUCUUGUUGAACCUCUAUAGCAUUUCAUCAAAGCAGUUCAUCAAUGGUGCUAAGUUGUAUAUGCCUACAAUUAUCAUGCAUUGCUUAAAAAAAAAAACAUUUUGAUUCUAUUUAGUUUUG